GAUGAACGCUGGCGGCGUGCCUAAUACAUGCAAGUCGAACGAAACUUCUUUAUCACCGAGUGCUUGCACUCACCGAUAAAGAGUUGAGUGGCGAACGGGUGAGUAACACGUGGGCAACCUGCCCAAAAGAGGGGGAUAACACUUGGAGACAGGUGCUACUACCGCAUAACCAUAGUUACCGCAUGGUAACUAUGUAAAAGGUGGCUAUACUACCGCUUUUGGAUGGGCCCGCGGCGCAUUAGCUAGUUGGUAGGGUAAAGGCUUACCAAGGCAAUGAUGCGUAGCCGAAUUGAGAGGUUGAUCAGCCACAUUGGGACUGAGACACGGCCCAAACUCCUACGGGAGGCAGCAGUAGGGAAUCUUCCACAAUGGGCGAAAGCCUGAUGGAGCAACGCCGCGUGGGUGAAGAAGGUCUUCGGAUCGUAAAACCCUGUUGUUAGAGAAGAAAGUGCGUGAGAGUAACUGUUCACGUUUCGACGGUAUCUAACCAGAAAGCCACGGCUAACUACGUG
rnacentral:rRNA from 1 species